GAUGAACGCUGGCGGCGUGCCUAAUACAUGCAAGUCGAACGCGCAGCGAAAGGUGCUUGCACCUUUCAAGCGAGUGGCGAACGGGUGAGUAACACGUGGAUAACCUGCCUCAAGGCUGGGGAUAACAUUUGGAAACAGAUGCUAAUACCGAAUAAAACUUAGUAUCGCAUGAUACAAAGUUGAAAGGCGCUACGGCGUCACCUAGAGAUGGGUCCGCGGUGCAUUAGUUAGUUGGUGGGGUAAAGGCCUACCAAGACAAUGAUGCAUAGCCGAGUUGAGAGACUGAUCGGCCACAUUGGGACUGAGACACGGCCCAAACUCCUACGGGAGGCUGCAGUAGGGAAUCUUCCACAAUGGGCGAAAGCCUGAUGGAGCAACGCCGCGUGUGUGAUGAAGGCUUUAGGGUCGUAAAGCACUGUUGUAUGGGAAGAAAUGCUAGAACAGGGAAUGAUUCUAGUUCGACGGUACCAUACCAGAAAGGGACGGCUAAAUAC
rnacentral:rRNA from 1 species